rnacentral:tRNA from 1 species
GCGUAUCUAAGGCCUCCCAAAUCUGACUACGAAUCAGAAGGCCGCAGGUUCGAGUCCUGCCGAGCGCG